AGCAUCGGCACAGGAUGCUGUCACUGCACCCACAAUGGCGCCUAUGAUGCCCGGGAGGCCGUGCAGGUUGUGAAUGCCACACGUGUCCUGGAUCCGCAGCCGUGACUCCAGGAAUGGCUGGAGAGGUUUGCAUGUCUGAUGGUCUCCCCGUGACGUACGCCGACAUCAGGCCUGUUCGUGUGCAAACCCCCGAGCCAGAGCCCGUGGGCCUACGACGGCUCCAGGCCUACCCGCACCGGGUACUGCGUUGCCGGCUGCGGGGAUGAUUUCAGUCCGUCUCUACAACAAGCCCAGGAGAAGUCAUGUAGGAUCCAUGAAAAACCAGGAAAGUCUAAGAACUGGCCUACACCGCAGAAGCCUGGAGAGCCUUGACAACUCAGUGCUGAGCGUGUGGUACCACGGAAGUGAGGAUGCAGAGGAAGAAGGAUGAAAGAAGGGGAGAAGAAUAUUCUUUGAGUACCAACUGUGUUCCAGGCACUGUUCUAGGUGCUGGGAGGUCAAUCGUUGUCCACAUGGAAGUUGCUGGGGGGAGGGGCUGCCUGACAAAAGCAAACCAAUAGAGAAGUACACGAUGAUUCCAGGCCACAUCCCCAUCCUGACCUGGUACUUCCUGUGACCACCAACGGGCUGGAAUUCUGGGCUCAUCCCGAGACCAGGGUUCAAGAAACUGGCUGCUCAGAGCCUCAGACUGUACCACCGCCCCACGCCCAUGGGGAAGUCUCCGGUGUGGCCAGCCUGCCGGGAAGGGACAGGAUGCAGGCCUUUCUGCAAAGUUCUCUCCUCUGUGACCUCUUGUGGGAUCGAAAGUAAGGCCACCAAUAGUGGGAAACUAGACAUCUCACUCUCUCGGCCUGGAGGGCUGCUCCAACAAGGACACAGCAUGUCGUCCGUGCUACGCCUGCUAAAAACACUUACCGUCAAUUUAAUCACGCGGAAACAGCAGACAGACCCAAAUCGAGGGACGUCCUGCAAGACGACUGGCCUGGGCUUGCAAAUUUGUAAACAAGAAGUUUGGAGGAAAGCCCUGCGGGGCUGUCAUUGGAAGUCUCCAGUGUGCCUCCCCAAGGCCUGGGGCGCAAGCCUGGAGUCAUAGGCUCAAGGGGAGUCUCCCACACACCCUCUGCCUGAUUACAGUUCACACUCCGCAUGCCCCGCGGGGCCCUCUGUGUUCCCUACGGUCUAGAGGCCAGCACGUCCCCAGUGGUUUGCACACAUCUAGAUGAUGCACCAUGGUCAGACGGGGGUGGAGUGAAAAGGGAACCCUACUUGGAAAGAUUACAGUUCCUGUCUCCAGUCCCCAUGGUACGACAGACUCCUGCACUUGACUGUGUAUUUGAAAUAAGAGUAGCAGCAUGAUUUUAAAGACAAAGAAGCAGAACCUAAGCUUGUAAUCCGAACAUGGCAGGUGGAUCUGCGUGCCCAGGAGGGGCCCUUGGCAGAAGUGAGAGCAGUGAGAAAGAUCUCUGAACACCUUCCUGCUCCCUCCCAUCUCGGCUUAAUGUGGCUCCAGGAGCUGAGCAGUGACAGAGACCUACCUAAUCACACCUGUCCAGCACAUGAAGAGCUGUUUGCCAACAGAGCGAGAAGACGAGAUUUUAAUCUUCAUUUUUUAAAUCCUUGGGGAUAAAGCAAAUGAGCCUGGAUUAAAAGCAGCAGGAAGGAUCUGGGCUCCAAAUCAGGAAGAAUUGCCAAACCGGCAGUGAGAACGCGGAACUUGGGCAUGACCCGGCAGGAGCGGUGGGACAGGCCCCUACUGGGAAGUCCUGAGCACAAACGCCAUUCCUGAGUCAGCUGGAUUUAUGGGCCGAGGCUGAGCCUAACCCCGGAGGGAUGGCCUACCACCGUUGCCGGGCCAGGCUUCGUGGAGACGCAAAGGAGACGCUCACGCCUUCAGUAAAGAGGGCACGCGGGGUCCCUGAGAGCUAGCCUUCUCCCCGCUUCUGUGGUCCUGAGCAGCCGCUGUGGUAUAAGUCACUCCAUGAUGUCUCCUGAGUUUCAGUGUGGCUGGCUUCUGGAUUGUGGCCACAUGUGUCUGGAGAACUAUGUUCCUGGUUCAAGUCCCAGAGAAAGGCAGGAAGGUGGGCGGACCCAGGUGGCUAAGGACGAGUUUGGGCUGGGCACAGGAUGGGGAGAUCAGGUGGUAAAUUACUCCGAGCUCUUGGCUGCAAACAACAGACCCCGCUGUGGCGAGUGUGAACAGAAAAGGCUUUCGGGAGGCCCUGAGAAUCGCGGUGAGGACGCCAGGCCAGGUUGGAGAGCUGGGACAAGGCAGAGCUGCUGUGAGGAGACGUCACUGCCAUCCCGAUGGAGUGUGGGCCACGUGUGGCUGCUUGCAGGGCUGUUGCUGCCUAGGGCAGUGGGGGCUUCUGACACCCUCCCCCCAAACUGGCCGUCACUUCCCAACUUGUGAUCGGUGGACACCAGUCACACGUCUAUGCCCCUACUGCAAAGGAAGCCGGGAAGGUACACCUUGAUGUCCCAUGUUCCCCAAGGGAACUUUUCCUGCUCCAGCCCUGAGAUGAACCAUUUCUGCAAGAGCUUGGGUUCCUUUUUUCAAGUACUUUAAAGGCAUUCUGCAAGUUAUACAAACCACGUAGCUCAGCUGGAUACAGCCCAUGGCAUGCUAGUUUGCCACCUUAGCUCUUAAGUUUCUGCAGUUUAAUGCUGUAAGACGCAAGCAAUCAAACGUCCGUGCAUGUGGUUGUUGCCCUUAUUGGUGGGCCAUUUGUUCUUAAACCUAACACAUGUCUGUGCAGGACCCACCUGUCCAUUGACUACUAUGCUCACUGGAGCCUGUGCGUUUCCUCGUUUCAUGCAGAAUUCUGGGGAAUGAUUUUCUCAUAAUCUAGGUUUGCCUUGUCAGCUCCCACGUUUGGUCCCGCUACUUUAGGAUUAUACUGUGUCCCUCUCGCACCUUCACGACCCAGAGCAUUUCAGAAUAGCUGACUGCUUCAAGCCCCUAAUCGUGACACGGCAAGACCUCCAUGAUAUACUGUUAACUGGGUGGCAAGGAGGAGGGCCUUGGAAAUUGGCAUUUUCAUCUCAUGCUAUUGAGAAUAUAAAUUUGUAUCACUUUCCAGUAUUAUUCGGGACUCCCUCACUUAUAAGUGACAGCAACCCAUACAAAACUAGCUUAAACAAACACACAAAGGAUGUUCAGUGACUCAAUUAACUGGGAAGACCGAGGGAGGGAAGGCUUCAGGCAUAGCUGGAUUCAGGGGCUCUAUCUUUGUGACUUCUGAUCCAAAAGGGGGAGAAAGAGCCCCCUGUGACAGUAGUUUAUAUAGAGUCUCAGGGAAUACUUUGAUUAAUUCUCUCUGGAUCUUAUGCCCAUCUCUGAACUGAACACUGCAGCCAGGGUUAAGAGAGGACUCUGGCCACUUCAAGUAGAGGAGUGGGGGAAGCCUGGCUCCCUACAGGAAAAACAGAAGGCUAUUAUUAGAAGACGGGGGGAAAGAAUUCUGAACAGGGGAGCACAUCGGAUGUCCAUUUCAUUUAGCAAAAAAAGCCAACAAAGAUUUUGAAACUUUAAAACGAAGAUUUUACCUUCCAUCUAAGAGAAUAAUUUCACAUCAAAGAAUUCACGAACAAAAAGAUCACGGACAAGGGCAGACUUGUGUCCAAGGAUGUUUGUAAUCACAGUACUGUGUAUAAUAGCAAAAUAUUUUAAGAAUCUAAAUGUCCAUCUAGAGGAGAUCAAACAACUUAGCGCCCAUCCAUGUUACCGGGAUGCUAGGCAGCUCUUGAAAAUGAUCAUCAUUUCCUUGUAUUUCAUGACCAGGAAAGACCCCCAUGAUCUACUGCUAAGUGGAAAAGACAGUCUACAAAAUAGCACACAUGUUAUAAUCUAAUUUUUUUUUAAAUUGGCUCUAUACCUGGGGCGCCUAGGUGGCGCAGUCGGUUAAGCGUCCGACUUCAGCCAGG